rnacentral:rRNA from 1 species
GACGAACGCUGGCGGCGUGCUUAACACAUGCAAGUCGAACGGAAAGGCCCUGCUUUUGUGGGGUGCUCGAGUGGCGAACGGGUGAGUAACACGUGAGUAACCUGCCCUUGACUUUGGGAUAACUUCAGGAAACUGGGGCUAAUACCGGAUAGGAGCUCCUGCUGCAUGGUGGGGGUUGGAAAGUUUCGGCGGUUGGGGAUGGACUCGCGGCUUAUCAGCUUGUUGGUGGGGUAGUGGCUUACCAAGGCUUUGACGGGUAGCCGGCCUGAGAGGGUGACCGGCCACAUUGGGAAUGAGAAACGGCCCAGACUCCAACGGGAGGCAGCAGUGGGGAAUAUUGCACAAUGGGCGGAAGCCUGAUGCAGCAACGCCGCGUGCGGGAUGACGGCAUUCGGGUUGUAAACCGCUUUCGCCUGUGACGAAGCGUGAGUGACGGUAAUGGGUAAAGAAGCACCGGCUAACUACGUG